rnacentral:rRNA from 1 species
AUACCCGCUGAAUUUAAGCAUAUCAGUAAGCGGAGGAAAAGAAACUAACCAGGAUUCUCCCAGUAACGGCGAGUGAACGGAGAUUAGCCCAGCACCGAAGCCCACUGUCAAUUGGCAGCAAGGCAAUGUGGUGUUUAGGCGAGUACCUGGGGUUGCUGAGUUACUCUAAGUCCAUCUAUGAUUCGUGGCACCAACUUGGUCCUUAGCGGGUGGAAGACCCUUACGAGUAACUUUUUCGGUUUGUUAAAGCAGCCUCUAGAUGUGCCCGUCUUGGAGUCGGAUUGCUUGAGAAGGCAGUCCCAAGUAUAGGAGCACCGCUGAAAUUAAUGCAAGGU